UCAGUGGAAAAGCUGUCAACUGAACCAAUGUUUCUUAAUCUGAUGAUUUAUCCACUGGCCCAUUAUGUCUCCCCAGUGUGAAUAUCAGGGGUUCUCAAACUUCAUUGCACCACAACCCCCUUUUGACAACA